rnacentral:rRNA from 1 species
CGGACGGGUGAGUAACACGUGGAUAACCUACCUAUAAGACUAGGAUAACUUCGGGAAAACGGAGCUAAUACCGGAUAAUAUUUUGAACCGCAUGGUUCAAAAGUGAAAGACGGUCUUGCUGUCACUUAUAGAUGGAUCCGCGCUGCAUUAGCUAGUUGGUAAGGUAACGGCUUACCAAGGCAACGAUGCAUAGCCGACCUGAGAGGGUGAUCGGCCACACUGGAACUGAGAAACGGUCCAGACUCCUACGGGAGGCAGCAGUA